GUGUUCGAAGAAAGGAGAAAUAUUCGGCAUCUCUUCUGAUAGGGACGAACAACGUUGUGUUUGACAUUUACCUAUUAACAGAGGUAUCUGGUUAUGGCUACCAACUUCAGUGAAUCUUAACCCAGGUUUUGC
rfam:Capsicum annuum cultivar Zunla-1 chromosome 1, whole genome shotgun sequence